CCUUUGGAGCGGAGGACUUACG
rnacentral:rRNA from 1 species